rnacentral:rRNA from 1 species
AGUGAACGCUGGCGGUAGGCCUAACACAUGCAAGUCGAACGGCAGCACAGUAAGAGCUUGCUCUUAUGGGUGGCGAGUGGCGGACGGGUGAGGAAUACAUCGGAAUCUACAUUUUCGUGGGGGAUAACGUAGGGAAACUUACGCUAAUACCGCAUACGACCUACGGGUGAAAGCAGGGGAUCUUCGGACCUUGCGCGAUUGAAUGAGCCGAUGUCGGAUUAGCUAGUUGGCGGGGUAAUGGCCCACCAAGGCGACGAUCCGUAGCUGGUCGGAGAGGAUGGUCAGCCACACUGGAACUGAGACACGGUCCAGACUCCUGCGGGAGGCAGCAGAGGGGAAUGUUAGACAAUAGGCGCAAGCCUGAUCCAGCCGUACCGCGUGGGUGAAGAAGGCCUUCGGGUUGUAAAGCCCUUUUGUUGGGAGAGAAAAGCAGCAGGUUAAUACCCCGCUGUUCUGACGGUACCCAAAGAAUAAGCACCGGCUAACUACGUG